rnacentral:lncRNA from 1 species
GGACGAUCUUGAUUACAUUCUGAUCCUCCUGUCUCCACCUCCCAAGCCUAUACCACAGGUAUGUACAUAUAUACACCUUCUCAGUCCCCUGUAACAAUACCAUUCCCUGUUAUCCACAAAGGAGGGAAGAUGGACUUUUAUGCAUGUCUUUCAAAGAGAGGCUGCCCUUUGAAUGCCCCUGCUGGAGCAUUUAAGUCCGGGAUAUCAGUAGCUAGACACUGUCCUUGCUGGUCUGCCUGCUUUCACUCUGUACUCUCUGCUCAGUAGCCAGAGAGAGCAAAGCGAUCUUUUGAAAGGUGAGUCAUCUCAUGUCCUACAACGACAAUGGAUUUGAGUGACACAUAUAUUCCAAAGUCCUUAGGGAACCUGAACAACCCUACGUAACCUAACUUGACCUCACUCUGAUCUUGCAUACCUUAGUAUUUAACCACUUCCGGCUACAGGCUCUGUAUUCCAGCGCGUUGGUCUCUUAGCUCUGCACUGUGCAAGCUGAGUUUGCUCUCAUCUCAAGGCUUUUAUAUUAGCUGCUCUGCCUCACACACAUGCACAUGCACGCACACAUACACAGGCAGACAGACAGAGUUGAAAGCUAGUACACUCAGAAACAUGAAUCAAAAUUAAGACCUCACCUGGGAUCUUCAGGACUAAGCAGGGCCACCACACCUGCCUCCUGCCUCCUAUAUAGACA